AGUGGAGGAUCAACACUGUAGACUGGAAACUCUCAGGGUGACGCCUGCUGGAGUCCGAUGGUUGACACCAGGUCUGAGGAAGUAUUCCUGUCAACUCACAGUCGACACAAACACAGUACACAGAGAACUCAAACUGUCUGACAACAACAGGAAGGUGACACAUGUGGAGGAGGAUCAGUCGUAUCC